GUGGGGAAUAUUGCGCAAUGGGGGAAACCCUGACGCAGCAAUACCGCGUGAGUGAAGAAGGUUUUCGGAUCGUAAAACUCUUUUAUUGGGGAAGAAGAAGUGACGGUACCCAAUGAAGAAGUCCCGGCUAACUACGUGCCAGCAGCCGCGGUAAUACGUAGGGGACAAGCGUUGUCCGGAAUCACUGGGCGUAAAGGGCGCGUAGGCGGUUUUAUAAGUCAGAUGUGAAAGGUACCGGCUCAACCGGUGACGUGCAUUUGAAACUGUAAGACUUGAGUACUGGAGAGGCAAGUGGAAUUCCUAGUGUAGCGGUGAAAUGCGUAGAUAUUAGGAGGAACACCGGUGGCGAAGGCGGCUUGCUGGACAGAUACUGACGCUGAGGUGCGAAAGCGUGGGGAGCGAACAGGAUUAGAUACCCGAGUAGUCC
rnacentral:rRNA from 1 species